AUGAACGCUGGCGGCGUGUCUAAGGCAUGCAAGUCGUACGGAUACUAUUUAAGAUUACAUCAAAGAUGGUGUUAGUGGCAAACGGGUGCGUAACACAUUGGUAACCUACCCCUAAGACGGGCAUAACUCCGCGAAAGCGGAGCUAAUUCCCGAUAAGCUCCUGCUGCGAUGGCAGCAAGAGUAAAGCUUCGGCGCUUAGGGAGGGGCCUAUGGCUCAUCAGCUUGUUGGUAGGGUAAUGGCCUACCAAGGCUACGACGAGUAGCGGGUGUGGGAGCACGACCCGCCUCACUGGGACUGAGACACUGCCCAGACUCCUACGGGAGGCUGCAGUCGAGAAUCUUCCCCAAUGCACGAAAGUGUGAGGGAGCGACGCCGCGUGAAUGAAGACGCCCUUCGGGGUGUAAAGUUCUUUUUUCUGGGAAGAACAAAUGACUGUACCAGAAGAAUAAGGGGCUGCUAACUCUGU
rnacentral:rRNA from 1 species